UACCAACUACGACCAGUUUACGCAAAAAAAUAUAUUGAUAGUUACCUGUUCCGCAGAGGAAGAUUUUAUUUUGUCAACUGAGCUUUUUACCCCUAUAGUAAAAUUUUUUCGCCCCUAUGAAAAACAACUUGCCUUACUGGACUAUCUCUGUUGUGGUAGAGGCGUUUAAUUUCAUCAUACGCUUUUUUUGCAGCAAAUAUCUUCUUGUCAUUGUAAUUUACUGCAAAGUGAGCAGUUGAUAUUCCACUGGUAUGUGCUUUUCAAAAAUAAUGCAGUAAAAUUAAUUUAUUUGAUAAUUAGAGCUAAGCAGCAUUGCUGAGGAGUUUUUUGUCCAGGAAUGGUGGAAUGUCGGAAGAUAAAAUAUCAGUGACUGGUCACGCAACAUGAUGGUCCCUAAAAACAGAGCAUACAUGUAAAGCUAAAUUUUCAUGCAUUUUAUGCAUUUUUAAAUGACUUUGAAACUUAAAAAUUUCACCAUUACUUGAAAUAUUGAACACGUUUAUGUCACAGGGAUCACCGGCAAUCUUGGACUAUUCUGGAGUUACACCAGCGGGAGCUCACGUAGUGGGCAUUGCGUCUAAAAUGAAGGGCUCAAGAACAAUAUUUGCUUGGACUCAAUAUUCCAAUGGACUGUCCCGAAGAAUCUUCCAUUGGAUGAAGCGGCUUCUCUUCCGACCGCAUAUUUAAUGGCGCACUCGAUCCUGGAAGAAAGGAUGGCAGUUAGAAUAGUUAAGGAUACGGACGAGACAAUAAAAAAGACAGCUUUCAUCGUAAAUGGACAAACGCCCGUCGGAUUGGCUUUCAUAUCUCUUUGCAUCGAAAAUAAUUAUGAUAUUUACAUUACCGUCUCUAACGAGGCGGCUUCUCAACUUGUGUCUCAGAUUUUCCCUCAGGUAUAUGCAUUUAGAUUUAAUAAAUAUAAGAUAAUGUAGAGUUUUGAAAACAUAAGAGUUUCCCUGAUUUAGUGUGGUGAAUUCCGAGGUUUCCCCCUCAAACAUGUGAUAAAAUAUAUGUUCACUUUAAGGGAGGCUGCAUGCAUAUGUCAAGUAAAGUUGAAGCAUCAAAAUUGAGUUUUCAGUAAACUUUUAAUAUCUCAAAGUAAUUUAUUUCAUCUCUGUGAUAAUAAGCCAAUAGCGAGCCAGAAGUUGUAUUUAAUAUGACAAUUCAAGACCUGAAUUGGCAGAUUAAAAGUUUAAACACAUAUCUUUUUUCAAAGCAAGAUAUAUAAUUAAGACAUAAUAAGCUAUGUUUCCUCUUGCAAAUUUCACGUCUUACAUAUUGAAUAAAUAUACUGAAAAUAUGUUUACGAGAAAGAAGCUACCGCUUGAUCUUUACAUUUCAAACAGGAAUAUCGAAUUUUUUUUCGAGCAAUGCGAAAAAAACCAAAGUCAGAGAAAGUCAAAUCAGUUAUUGUACAACCAGAAUUCUACACGACAAAAAAUUCACUUUUCC
rnacentral:lncRNA from 1 species